rnacentral:rRNA from 1 species
AUACGUAGGGUGCAAGCGUUAAUCGGAAUUACUGGGCGUAAAGCGUGCGCAGGCGGUUUUGUAAGACAGUGGUGAAAUCCCCGGGCUCAACCUGGGAACUGCCAUUGUGACUGCAAGGCUGGAGGGCGGCAGAGGGGGAUGGAAUUCCCGGGGUAGCGGUGAAAUGCGUAGAUAUGGGGAGGAACACCGAUGGCGAAGGCAAUCCCCUGGGCCUGCACUGACGCUCAUGCACGAAAGCGUGGGGAGCAAACAGGAUUAGAUCCCCUGGUAGUCCACGCCCUAAACGAUGUCAACUGGUUGUUGGGGAUUUAUUUUCUCAGUAACGAAGCUAACGCGUGAAGUUGACCGCCUGGGGAGUACGGCCGCAAGGUUAAAACUCAAAUGAAUUGACGGGG